rnacentral:rRNA from 1 species
GUCCACGCCGUAAACGAUGGGUACUAGGUGUCUGGGGGAGCGACCCCCUGGGUGCCGGCGCUAACGCAUGAAGUACCCCGCCUGGGGAGGUACGGCCGCAAGGCUGAAACUCAAAGGAAUUGACGGGGGCCCGCACAAGCGGUGGAGCAUGUGGUUUAAUUCGACGCAACGCGAAGAACCUUACCUAGGCUUGACAUGCUGGAGAAAGCUCGCAGAAACGUGAGCCCCUCUUCGGAGUUCCAGCACAGAUGCUGCAUGGCUGUCGU